rnacentral:rRNA from 1 species
UAGUCUGGGAAACUGCCUGAUGGAGGGGGAUAACUACUGGAAACGGUAGCUAAUACCGCAUAAUGUCGCAAGACCAAAGUGGGGGACCUUCGGGCCUCAUGCCAUCAGAUGUGCCCAGAUGGGAUUAGCUAGUAGGUGGGGUAAAGGCUCACCUAGGCGACGACCUCUAGCUGGUCUGAGAGGAUGAUCAGCCACACUGGGACUGAGACACGGCCCAG